UCAUCGCGCCGGCGCCUGGAGGACCCGUCCCUGCGGCCUGCAUACUGUAAGUAAGGGUAUGCUCAGGGUCCAGGGGAUUAUGGAAACAGGAUAUGCGCCACUGUUAGGAGGAGGGGGGUCAGAGAAAAGGGAAUAUUUAAUGAGGGUCUGCAGCAGGGACGUGCACACAUAGGAGUGAAAGGGGGCUGGAGCCCCUGCCCUUUUCCUCACCUGCCCCUCUAGUGCCCUCACAAAAGGAGGUGCAGACUCAGGCUGACAAGUGAAGUAAAAAGGAUCCAUUGCUGGAGAUUUGUAUGUGGUUUAAUGGAGGGUGCUGUGCCCUCCCUGCAGCAAGGGGGCGCCACUCACCCUGUCAUUAUCUGCCAUUUCUUUGCUUCUCUCCACACGGAGGAGACAGGAGCAGAGGAGGCAGAGGGAGGCAAAUGGAGGCCCCGCCCACAACAUGUCCGGCCACAAACCAGUCUAAGCAGCCCUUACUAGGAUCAGAAUGCAUUGGCAUAGUGAGGAGACGUCUGGGCAUCAAGUUCUGCAGAGAGAAGAUUUAGCUGGAACAAAUCCUGGCGCCAAUCAGAGAGCAGCACUACUGAAAUAGAACUCCCAGGAGUGAGGGGCCGGUGCUGGACACUGUGUAGGGACGCGGGAAUGCAAAGUCAUACACAUGACUGUGACUGAUGCACUAUUUCCAGGACAUGGAGUAGCAUUUCGGGACCUACAGCAAGACGUUGGAUGAAGGCACAGGCCUAGGAAUCAUGCACAUACACAGAAACAUUUGCCCAAAUUAUAGAGGUAACCUCCUUUAGUAUGCCCAGAGGAAGGGCCAUACAGUAGCCAUGGAUUCCCUACAGGUUUCCUCCCCUCUGGAGGUUUUUCCUGUCCUGAGUAUUAGUUACUGUACGCUCUUUGUGAGUGAUGGGAGGUUACAAAAAAUCCCCUACACAAACAUUUUAAUAAAUAAUAA